rnacentral:tRNA from 1 species
GCGGGCGUGGUGAAAUUGGCAUACACGCAUGCCUUAGGAGCAUGUGGAGCAAUCCGUGAGAGUUCGAGUCUCUCCGCCCGCACCA